UGGCCAUAAAAUGUUGAAACACCAGUUCUUGUCUGAUCACCAAAAUUAAACAACUUUAAGCCUGGUCAGUAACUAGAUGGGUGACCACUUGGAAAUACCAGGCGCUGUAAG